rnacentral:rRNA from 1 species
GGUUAAGUUAGAAAGGGCGCACGGUGAAUGCCUUGGCACUAGGAGCCGAUGAAGGACGGGACUAACACCGAUAUGCUUCGGGGAGCUGUAAGUGAGCUUUGAUCCGGAGAUUUCCGAAUGGGGAAACCCACUGUUCGUAAUGGAACAGUAUCUUUAUCUGAAUACAUAGGAUAUUGAAGGCAGACCCGGGGAACUGAAACAUCUAAGUACCCGGAGGAAGAGAAAGCAAAUGCGAUUUCCUGAGUAGCGGCGAGCGAAACGGAAUUAGCCCAAACCAAGAGGCUUGCCUCUUGGGGUUGUAGGACACUCUAUACGGAGUUACAAAGGAACGAAGUAAAUGAAGCGACCUGGAAAGGUCCGUCGAAGAAGGUAACAACCCUGUAGUUGAAACUUCGUUCCCUCUUGAGUGGAUCCUGAGUACGGCGGAACACGUGAAAUUCCGUCGGAAGCUGGGAGGACCAUCUCCCAAGGCUAAAUACUACCUAGUGACCGAUAGUGAACCAGUACCGUGAGGGAAAGGUGAAAAGCACCCCGGAAGGGGAGUGAAAGAGAUCCUGAAACCGUGUGCCUACAAGUAGUCAGAGCCCGUUAACGGGUGAUGGCGUGCCUUUUGUAGAAUGAACCGGCGAGUUACGAUCCCAUGCAAGGUUAAGCUGAUAAGGCGGAGCCGUAGCGAAAGCGAGUCUGAAUAGGGCGUUUAGUAUGUGGUUGUAGACCCGAAACCAGGUGAUCUACCCAUGUCCAGGGUGAAGUUCAGGUAACACUGAAUGGAGGCCCGAACCCACGCACGUUGAAAAGUGCGGGGAUGAGGUGUGGGUAGCGGAGAAAUUCCAAUCGAACCUGGAGAUAGCUGGUUCUCUCCGAAAUAGCUUUAGGGCUAGCCUCAUGUUGUGAGAGUCUUGGAGGUAGAGCACUGAUUGGACUAGGGGCCCCCAACGGGUUACCGAAUUCAGUCAAACUCCGAAUGCCAAAGACUUAUCCAUGGGAGUCAGACUGCGAGUGAUAAGAUCCGUAGUCAAAAGGGAAACAGCCCAGACCACCAGCUAAGGUCCCCAAGUAUACGUUAAGUGGAAAAGGAUGUGGAGUUGCUUAGACAACCAGGAUGUUGGCUUAGAAGCAGCCACCAUUUAAAGAGUGCGUAAUAGCUCACUGGUCGAGUGACUCUGCGCCGAAAAUGUACCGGGGCUAAACGUAUCACCGAAGCUGUGGAUUGACAUCUUUGAUGUCAGUGGUAGGAGAGCGUUCUAAGUGCAGCGAAGUCAGACCGUAAGGACUGGUGGAGCGCUUAGAAGUGAGAAUGCCGGUAUGAGUAGCGAAAGACAAGUGAGAAUCUUGUCCACCGAAUGCCUAAGGUUUCCUGAGGAAGGCUCGUCCGCUCAGGGUUAGUCGGGACCUAAGCCGAGGCUGAAAAGCGUAGGCGAUGGCCAACAGGUUGAUAUUCCUGUACCACCUCCCCGCCGUUUGAGUAAUGGGGGGACGCAGUAGGAUAGGGUAAGCGCGCUGCUGGAUAUGCGCGUUCAAGCAGUUAGGCUGAUGAGUAGGCAAAUCCGCUCAUCAUAAAGGCUGAGCUGUGAUGACGAGGGAAUUAUAGUACCGAAGUUCCUGAUUCCACACUGCCAAGAAAAGCCUCUAGCGAGGCGGGAGGUGCCCGUACCGCAAACCGACACAGGUAGGCGAGGAGAGAAUCCUAAGGUGAUCGAGAGAACUCUCGUUAAGGAACUCGGCAAAAUGACCCCGUAACUUCGGGAGAAGGGGUGCUCUGGUAGGGUGUAUAGCCCGAGAGAGCCGCAGUGAAUAGGCCCAGGCGACUGUUUAGCAAAAACACAGGUCUCUGCGAAGCCGCAAGGCGAAGUAUAGGGGCUGACGCCUGCCCGGUGCUGGAAGGUUAAGAGGAGGGGUUAUCCUUCGGGAGAAGCUCUGAAUCGAAGCCCCAGUAAACGGCGGCCGUAACUAUAACGGUCCUAAGGUAGCGAAAUUCCUUGUCGGGUAAGUUCCGACCCGCACGAAAGGCGUAACGAUCUGGGCACUGUCUCAACGAGAGACUCGGUGAAAUUAUAGUACCUGUGAAGAUGCAGGUUACCCGCGACAGGACGGAAAGACCCCGUGGAGCUUUACUGUAGCCUGAUAUUGAAUUUUGGUACAGCUUGUACAGGAUAGGUAGGAGCCUGAGAAGCCGGAGCGCUAGCUUCGGUGGAGGCGUCGGUGGGAUACUACCCUGGCUGUAUUGAAAUUCUAACCCGCGGCCCUGAUCGGGCCGGGAGACAGUGUCAGGUGGGCAGUUUGACUGGGGCGGUCGCCUCCUAAAAUGUAACGGAGGCGCCCAAAGGUUCCCUCAGAAUGGUUGGAAAUCAUUCGUAGAGUGUAAAGGCACAAGGGAGCUUGACUGCGAGACCUACAAGUCGAGCAGGGACGAAAGUCGGGCUUAGUGAUCCGGUGGUUCCGCAUGGAAGGGCCAUCGCUCAACGGAUAAAAGCUACCCCGGGGAUAACAGGCUUAUCUCCCCCAAGAGUCCACAUCGACGGGGAGGUUUGGCACCUCGAUGUCGGCUCAUCGCAUCCUGGGGCUGUAGUCGGUCCCAAGGGUUGGGCUGUUCGCCCAUUAAAGCGGUACGCGAGCUGGGUUCAGAACGUCGUGAGACAGUUCGGUCCCUAUCCGUCGUGGGCGUAGGAAAUUUGAGAGGAGCUGUCCUUAGUACGAGAGGACCGGGAUGGACACACCGCUGGUGUACCAGUUGUCUUGCCAAAGGCAUCGCUGGGUAGCUAUGUGUGGACGGGAUAAGUGCUGAAAGCAUCUAAGCAUGAAGCCCCCCUCAAGAUGAGAUUUCCCAUAGCGCAAGCUAGUAAGAUCCCUGAAAGAUGAUCAGGUUGAUAGGUCAGAGGUGGAAGCGUGGCGACAUGUGUAGCUGACUGAUACUAAUCGAUCGAGGACUUAACCAA